rnacentral:rRNA from 1 species
GUGGGGAAUUUUGGACAAUGGGCGAAAGCCUGAUCCAGCCAUGCCGCGUGAGUGAAGAAGGCCUUCGGGUUGUAAAGCUCUUUCAGAUGUGAAGAUGAUGACGGUAACAUCAGAAGAAGCUCCGGCUAACUUCGUGCCAGCAGCCGCGGUAAUACGAAGGGAGCGAGCGUUGUUCGGAAUCACUGGGCGUAAAGAGUGCGUAGGCGGUUAUACAAGUCAGGAGUGAAAUCCCAGGGCUCAACCCUGGAAUUGCUUUUGAAACUGUAUAGCUAGAGUCCCGGAGGGGUUAAUGGAAUUCCGAGUGUAGAGGUGAAAUUCGCAGAUAUUCGGAGGAACACCAGUGGCGAAGGCGAUUAACUGGACGGGCACUGACGCUGAGGCACGAAAGCGUGGGGAUCAAACAGGAUUAGAUACCCCGGUAGUCC